rnacentral:rRNA from 1 species
AUUGAACGCUGGCGGCAGGCCUAACACAUGCAAGUCGAGCGAGCGGCGGACGGGUGAGUAAUGUCUGGGAAACUGCCUGAUGGAGGGGGAUAACUACUGGAAACGGUAGCUAAUACCGCAUACCAUCAGAUGUGCCCAGAUGGGAUUAGCUAGUAGGUGGGGUAACGGCUCACCUAGGCGACGCUCCCUAGCUGGUCUGAGAGGAUGACCAGCCACACUGGAACUGAGACACGGUCCAGACUCCUCCGGGAGGAACCAGUGGGGAUGAUUGCACAAGGGGCGCAAGCCUGCUGCAGCCAUGCCGCGUGUGUGAAGAAGGCCUUCGGGUUGUAAAGCACUUUCAGCGGGGAGGCGUUACCCUCAGAAGAAGCACCUGCUAACUCCGUGCCAGCAGCCGCGGUAAUUC